rnacentral:rRNA from 1 species
UACGUAGGGUGCAAGCGUUGUCCGGAAUUAUUGGGCGUAAAGAGCUCGUAGGCGGUCUGUCGCGUCUGCUGUGAAAACUCAGGGCUUAACCCUGAGCUUGCAGUGGGUACGGGCAGACUAGAGUGCGGUAGGGGAGACUGGAAUUCCUGGUGUAGCGGUGAAAUGCGCAGAUAUCAGGAGGAACACCGGUGGCGAAGGCGGUUAGCUGGGCAGUUGCUGACACUGAGGCGCGACAGCGUGGGGAGCAAACAGG